rnacentral:rRNA from 1 species
UACGUAGGGUGCAAGCGUUGCCCGGAAUUAUUGGGCGUAAAGAGCUCGUAGGCGGUCUGUUGCGUCGGCUGUGAAAACCCGUGGCUCAACUCCGGGCCUGCAGCCGAUACGGGCAGACUAGAGUUCGGCAGGGGAGACUGGAAUUCCUGGUGUAGCGGUGAAAUGCGCAGAUAUCAGGAGGAACACCGGUGGCGAAGGCGGGUCUCUGGGCCGAUACUGACGCUGAGGAGCGAAAGCGUGGGGAGCAAACAGG